rnacentral:rRNA from 1 species
GAUUAGUGGCGAACGGGUGAGUAACACGUGGGCAAUCUGCCCUGCACUCUGGGACAAGCCCUGGAAACGGGGUCUAAUACCGGAUAUGACUGUCCAUCGCAUGGUGGAUGGUGUAAAGCUCCGGCGGUGCAGGAUGAGCCCGCGGCCUAUCAGCUUGUUGGUGAGGUAGUGGCUCACCAAGGCGACGACGGGUAGCCGGCCUGAGAGGGCGACCGGCCACACUGGGACUGAGACACGGCCCAGACUCCUACGGGAGGCAGCAGUGGGGAAUAUUGCACAAUGGGCGAAAGCCUGAUGCAGCGACGCCGCGUGAGGGAUGACGGCCUUCGGGUUGUAAACCUCUUUCAGCAGGGAAGAAGCGAAAGUGACGGUACCUGCAGAAGAAGCGCCGGCUAACUACGUGCCAGCAGCCGCGGUAAUACGUAGGGCGCAAGCGUUGUCCGGAAUUAUUGGGCGUAAAGAGCUCGUAGGCGGCUUGUCACGUCGGUUG